UACGGGAGGCAGCAGUGGGGAAUAUUGCACAAUGGGCGCAAGCCUGAUGCAGCCAUGCCGCGUGUAUGAAGAAGGCCUUCGGGUUGUAAAGUACUUUCAGUCGUGAGGAAGGUGUUAAGGUUAAUAACCUUAGCAAUUGACGUUAGCGACAGAAGAAGCACCGGCUAACUCCGUGCCAGCAGCCGCGGUAAUCGGAGGGUGCGAGCGUUAAUCGGAAUUACUGGGCGUAAAGGGCACGCAGGCGGUUAAUUAAGUUGGAUGUGAAAUCCCCGGGCUUAACCUGGGAAUGGCAUUCAAGACUGGUUAGCUAGAGUCUUGUAGAGGGGGUAGAAUUCCAUGUGUAGCGGUGAAAUGCGUAGAGAUGUGGAGGAAUACCGGUGGCGAAGGCGGCCCCUGGACAAAGGCUGACGCUCAUGUGCGAAAGCGUGGGGAGCAAACG
rnacentral:rRNA from 1 species